UACGGAGGAUCCAAGCGUUAUCCGGAAUCAUUGGGUUUAAAGGGUCCGUAGGCGGUUUUGUAAGUCCGUGGUGAAAGCCCAUCGCUCAACGGUGGAACGGCCAUUGAUACUGCAAGACUUGAAUUAUUGGGAAGUAACUAGAAUAUGUAGUGUAGCGGUGAAAUGCUUAGAGAUUACAUGGAAUACCAAUUGCGAAGGCAGGUUACUACUAAGGGAUUGACGCUGAUGGACGAAAGCGUGGGGAGCGAACAGG
rnacentral:rRNA from 1 species